rnacentral:sRNA from 1 species
GCUAGGCAUUGCGGUGCAUGCCUGUAAUCCCAGUGACUCAGGAGGCUGAGGCAGGAGGAUUGCAAGUUUGAGACCCCUUUGGCAAUUUAGCAAGGCCCUAAGCAACUCAACGAGACCCUGUCUCUA